rnacentral:lncRNA from 1 species
GACUAGGAGAAAGUGACAAUAAUUUACACAAAAUACUGAAUGCUUGCAUCGCAGCCCAACCAUUAGGAUGAAGCUGAGUAGGAGCAACAUUAAGAAAAUUAAGAACGCCCAUUUGAAAAUUGUUCAAAGGCAAUCGAAUAUGAAGAUCUCUGAAAAAGCAAGCAUAAAAAUAAAAAAAUUCAUAGCUAUCAUCUUCUCGGCCAUGACACACAUUAUCAACAUCACCAACACGCCGAAAUGAAAUGAUAUCAUUUUCAAUAUCAGAAUAAUAAAUUUGAGAACGGGAAAGAAAACUCCGAAGUUCGUUAGCAGAACGAUACUUCGAGAAAUACUCUCGGACUUUAGGAUU